CCUACGGGAGGCAGCAGUGAGGAAUAUUGGUCAAUGGGCGCGAGCCUGAACCAGCCAAGUAGCGUGAAGGAUGACUGCCCUACGGGUUGUAAACUUCUUUUAUAUAGGAAUAAAGUGAUGCACGUGUGCCUUUUUGUAUGUACUUUAUGAAUAAGGAUCGGCUAACUCCGUGCCAGCAGCCGCGGUAAUACGGAGGAUCCGAGCGUUAUCCGGAUUUAUUGGGUUUAAAGGGAGCGUAGGUGGAUUGUUAAGUCAGUUGUGAAAGUUUGCGGCUCAACCGUAAAAUUGCAAUUGAUACUGGCAGCCUUGAGUACAGUUGAGGUAGGCGGAAUUCGUGGUGGAGCGGUGAAAUGCUUAGAUAUCACGAAGAACUCCGAUUGCGAAGGCAGCCUACUGGACUGCCACUGACACUGAGGCUCGAAAGUGUGGGUAUCAAACAGGAUUAGAUACCCCAGUAGUC
rnacentral:rRNA from 1 species